rnacentral:rRNA from 1 species
AACGAACGCUGGCGGCAUGCCUAACACAUGCAAGUCGAACGAUACCUUCCUGUCUAGUGGCGCACGGGUGCUUAACGCGUGGUAAUCUGCCCUUAGGUUCGGAAUACCUCCCCGAAAGGUGUGCUAAUACCGGUUAAUCUCUUCGCACCAACGAUCUAUCGCGUUUGGAUGGGCCUGCGUUAGAUUAGCUAGUUGGUAGUGUAAAAGCCUGCCAAGGCGUGGUUGCAUAGCUGGUCUGAGAGGAUGAUCAGCCGCGCUGGGACUAAGACACGGCCCAGAAUCGGACGGGAGGGGGCAGUGGGGAAUAUUGGAGAAGGGGCGAAAGCCUGAUCCAGCAAUGCCGCGUAAGAGGUGAAGGCCGUAGGGUUGUAAAGCUCUUUUACCCGGGAUGAUAAUGACAGUACCGGGAGAAUAAGCGCCGGCUAACUCCGUG